CGGACGGGUGAGUAACGCGUGGAAAACCUGCCGUAUACUGGGGGAUAACACUUAGAAAUAGGUGCUAAUACCGCAUAAGCGCACAGCUUCGCAUGAAGUGGUGUGAAAAACUCCGGUGGUAUACGAUGGUUCCGCGUCUGAUUAGCUUGUUGGUGGGGUAAUGGCUCACCAAGGCGACGAUCAGUAGCCGGCCUGAGAGGGUGAACGGCCACAUUGGGACUGAGCACGGCCCAAACUCCUACGGAAGGCAGCAG
rnacentral:rRNA from 1 species